rnacentral:sRNA from 1 species
GCCCCUGGGAGUGGCGCGGUGGCGCACGCCUGUAGUCCCAGCUACUCGGGAGGCUGAGACAGGAGGAUCGCUUGAGUCCAGGAGUUCUGGGCUGUAGUGCGCUAUGCCGAUCGGGUGUCCGCACUAAGUUCGGCAUCAAUAUGGUGACCUCCCGGGAGCGGGGGACCACCAGGUUGCCUAAGGAGGGGUGAACCGGCCCAGGUCGGGAGUGGAUGAUCUUACAGAAAACAAGAGUUACUGAGACACAAUCUCAGAACAGUUGCAGCAAGUGUUUUUUUUU